AUUGAACGCUGGCGGCAGGCCUAACACAUGCAAGUCGGGCGAGUGGCGGACGGGUGAGUAAUGUAUGGGGAUCUGCCUGAUGGCGGGGGAUAACUACUGGAAACGGUAGCUAAUACCGCAUACCAUCAGAUGAACCCAUAUGGGAUUAGCUUGUAGGUGGGGUAACGGCUUACCCAGGCGACGAUCCCUAGCUGGUCUGAGAGGAUGAUCAGCCACACUGGAACUGAGACACGGCCCAGACUCCUACGGGAGGCAGCAGUGGGGAAUAUUGCACAAUGGGCGCAAGCCUGAUGCAGCCAUGCCGCGUGUAUGAAGAAGGCCUUCGGGUUGUAAAGUACUUUCAGUGGGGAGGCGUUACCCGCAGAAGAAGCACCGGCUAACUCCGUGCCAGCCGCCGCGGCAAUUC
rnacentral:rRNA from 1 species